rnacentral:rRNA from 1 species
UGGGGAAUUUUGGACAAUGGGCGAAAGCCUGAUCCAGCAAUGCCGCGUGUGAAGAAGGCCUUCGGGUUGUAAAGCACUUUUGUCCGGAAAGAAAUCCUUGGCUCUAAUACAGUCGGGGGAUGACGGUACCGGAAGAAUAAGCACCGGCUAACUACGUGCCAGCAGCCGCGGUAAUACGUAGGGUGCAAGCGUUAAUCGGAAUUACUGGGCGUAAAGCGUGCGCAGGCGGUUUGCUAAGACCGAUGUGAAAUCCCCGGGCUCAACCUGGGAACUGCAUUGGUGACUGGCAGGCUAGAGUAUGGCAGAGGGGGGUAGAAUUCCACGUGUAGCAGUGAAAUGCGUAGAGAUGUGGAGGAAUACCGAUGGCGAAGGCAGCCCCCUGGGCCAAUACUGACGCUCAUGCACGAAAGCGUGGGGGAGCAAACAGGAUUAGAUACCCCUGGUAGUCCACGCCCUAAACGAUGUCAACUAGUUGUUGGGGAUUCAUUUCCUUAGUAACGUAGCUAACGCGUGAAGUUGACCGCCUGGGGAGUACGGUCGCAAGAUUAAAACUUAAAUGAAUUGACGGGGUCAUAGCUGUUUCCU